rnacentral:tRNA from 1 species
GGGGCUGUAGCUCAGAUGGUUAGAGUGCUACGUUGACAUCGUAGAGGUCAUGCGUUCGAUCCGCAUCAGCCCCACCA